AACGAACGCUGGCGGCAGGCCUAACACAUGCAAGUCGAACGCUCCGCAAGGGGAGUGGCGCACGGGUGAGUAACACGUGGGAACCUACCUUCUGGUACGGAACAACCAAGGGAAACUUUGGCUAAGACCGUAUACGACCUCCGGGUGAAAGAUUGAUCGCCGGAAGAGGGGCCCGCGUCCGAUUAGGUAGUUGGUGAGGUAACGGCUCACCAAGCCUUCGAUCGGUAGCUGGUCUGAGAGGAUGACCAGCCACACUGGGACUGAGACACGGCCCAGACUCCUACGGGAGGCAGCAGUGGGGAAUAUUGGACAAUGGGCGCAAGCCUGAUCCAGCCAUGCCGCGUGCGGGAAGAAGGCCU
rnacentral:rRNA from 1 species